AUUGCACGCUGGCGGCAGGCCUAACACAUGCAAGUCGGGCGAGCGGCGGACGGGUGAGUAAUGUAUGGGGCUCUGCCUGAUGGAGGGGGAUAACUACUGGAAACGGUAGCUAAUACCGCGUACCAUAGGAUGAGCCCAAGUGGGAUUAGGUCGUUGGAUAUGUAAAGGCUAACCAAGCCGACGAGCUCUCGCGGGUCUGAGAGGAUGACCCGCCACACUGUGACUGAGCCACGGCACGUACUCCUACGGGAGGCAGCAGUGGGGAAUAUUGCGCAAGGGGGGCAACCUGACGCAGCCAUGCCGAGUGAAUGAAGAAGGCCUUCGGGUUGGAAAGUUCUUUCGGUAGCGAGGCGUUAACUACAGAAGAAGCACCGGCUAACUCCGUGCCAGCAGCCGCGGUAAUAC
rnacentral:rRNA from 1 species